CUUUACUCUAGCUUUGCAGUGGCAUUAGGGAGCGGAUAUGUAGCAUAGGCGGGAGCCUGUGAAGCGCGGGCGUCAGCUCGCGUGGAGGCACCAGUGAAAUACCGCUUUUUUGUUCUCUGAUGUCUAACCUAGUCCCGUUAUCCGGGACGGGGACCCUGCAUGGCGGGGAGUUUGACUGGGGCGGUCGCCUCCCAAAUCGUAACGGAGGCGCGCGAUGGUAGGCUCAACCUGGUCGGAAAUCAGGUGUUGCGUGCAAUGGCAUAAGCCUGCCUGACUGCGAGAUCGACAGAUCGAGCAGGGACGAAAGUCGGCCAUAGUGAUCCGGUGGUCCCACGUGGAAGGGCCAUCGCUCAACGGAUAAAAGUUA
rnacentral:rRNA from 1 species